rnacentral:lncRNA from 1 species
AAAUUGCGGUGAAUUCAUAUCAUGAAACUACUCAGCAAUAAAAAGAAACAAUUCCCUGAGUACCUAACAGUGUGGACGAUCUAAAACCAUGCAGAAGAAAGAAGCCAAACAGAUAGAGUGAGUCCCCCUCUACGAAGGUCAGGAACUGGCAAAACUGACUUGUAGGGAGAGAAGUCAGAUCAAAGACCAGGGGAAUGUACCUUUUGGUAAAAGCAGAAAACAAACAAAACGAUGAGACCAGAACUACGGCAACCAGCCCAAGCACCACUUCGAGCUCCAGGAAAGCUGUGUGAUGCUGAAUAGACUGCUCAACCUCUCUGAGGCUGGUGUUCUUAUCUUCAAACGGGGAUAAAAGAUCUACCAGUCUAGGCUAGAAGUCUGAAAUCAAGGCAUCGGGAGGCCAUGCUCCAAGACUCUGAGUGGAACCCUCUUUGCCUUUUCCUGACUUCUGGUGGUGCCGGCGGCCCUUGAUGUUCUUGGCUCUUUAAGCAUCUCUGCAACCUCUGCCAUCAUCUUCACACAGCGCCCUCCCUGUGCAUCUCUGUCUUCAUACGAUGUUUUCUUCUUUUCAUGAGGACAGCAGUUAUAUUGGGCUACAAUCCACCCUACUCUAAUAUGGCCUCAUCUAAUCAUACCUGCAAUGACUCUAUUUUUAAAUAAAGCCACAUUCAGAGGUACCCAGUUUAGGACAUGAACUUUUCGGGAGACACAGUUCAACUCAUCACAGAAAAUAAUCAGGGGUCUGGACAUUCUGUGUCAAUGAGAUUGAGCCACUAGUUGUUAAUAGUAUUUCACUCAUCUCUGCUGAUAUUUUUAAAGAACAUGUGAAAGGGGUGAGGUAUCUGAUAGAAAGCCCUCCCUCAUGUAAUUGAUGAGAUAAGGGUUCUAAUUUUCCCCACAGAAGUUAUAAAGAGCACCUGAGCUGUCAGCCAAAUCAAAUUGCCAGUGGAAAGCAGGUGAACCUAAGGAAGCCAUGGGGGUGAGACGUGCCUGGGCAUGCCCUGUUCAUGGUGGCACCGACCCACACAGCAUUCAUAGAAUUCAUACCUUCCCGGAGCUGGCGUGACUCCUGGGAGACCACAGUUUCUGAGAAAAUAGAAAGCCAAGUGUAAACUGGACUGGUCACAAAGACUCCGCAGGGAGCUGGCUGCAGACACCCACUCAGUCCAGUCCUGUGGGCACACAGUUGGGUCUUAGGGGAAAAAGAAAGCUUAAGUUAAAACUGCAACAGCUCUUCCAGGAAAGAAUUUUUUCAACCCAGGGACACAAAGAGCGCUGCUUUGGAAACCUUCUAACAGAGCGGAACAUGAAGGCGAGCACACCCCCGCCCAGGUUUGACUCAGGGAGGACCCAGGGACCUCGGGCUGGAGCCCAGCAGGAGCCGGGAACUGCCUUCUGUGGAUCACAGCUGAAAGGGGUAGCCAUUCAGAAUCUCUGACAAAGGGCCACCGACUUAAGGUCCCCAGCUUCUACAGCUUCACCAGACCCUGCUCAGCAAGAAGGUGCUGACAAAACCCAUAUGCGUCCAAUCCCACUUCCAGGGAAGCCCCUGCCAAAUAAGCAUGGGAGCCAUGCUUCCCGCUGCCCAUCAGAACCGGCGAUUUUGAAUCUCUCUUUCCACGGCAGUAGCUCCUGCAAGAGCCCCCAUCCCCAUCGUGCCACUCAGCCGGGCUGGGGCUGCUGGGGAAGCCCUGUGUUCCCAGGGCUUUGCCCUCUGUGUCUUAGCAGCCACAGCUCCUGACUUCCAUUCCCCCUUCAAAGUCCGUGGGAGGGAAGAGGAGGGAAACUAGGAGAGACUUUGGAAUCUAAAGGAAACAAGGAGGAUGUUUUCCUAAUGCCCAGAGGAUAUGUGUAACUCUUUUUCUGCAGACAGAAGCUUCGUCGGUACUGGGGUUAGUUCCUGCAGUAUUUGGUAUCCUAACUCAGCGGUUAUGGUUUAUCUAGCCCGUGUGAACUGGUCCAGGAAGACGAGCACCCUUCCCAACUUAGUCUACACAAGAGAGUGCUUCGCUUUAGGGAUUUUUUAAAAACUUGAAAACAGCUUUGAAACACAAUUCAUCGGUACAUUUUCUUCUCAUGGCAUUUAGAUAUUAAAAACAUGUGCAUGCAGGUUCUCCAACAUUAGAAUAAGACUUAAAAGGAUGGAAACCUACGUCAUUUGUGGAGUAUCUGUUUUGCUCAGAAAUGGACCACGAUAGCAUCGUGGCACCGUAAGGUGGUGAAGUACUACAGAUAGCACAAGGAAGACCAUUUGAACUCCAAAAGGCUGUGAUUGACAAAAACUAACAAGAGACAGCCCCCCAGGAAAUUCAGGGUUUAUUGCUGAAUUCUCAUGUAUGAAAGUUUGUGGGAUUUGUAAUCACAGGGGCUACCUCCCAGGAAACCGUGAUAGCCAUUUUUCCACCGUAGUUUUGCACUUAAUGGACUUUGCCUCCCAUAAUUCAGGAAAAUGUCUUUUGUUGUGCACAGUGGAGGCCGAGUGCUAUUGAGAGUGUGUGUCCUACAAAGGGCCUCACUAUCUGAGGUCUGCAGCCUGUCUCCUAGGCACUCCCCACUUCAAGAAGCAGCUCUGAGAACAGAUUAAUGCCUGGAUGCCAAGGAGCAAUGAAGUUCACCCAUCUUAUCCAGGGGCUGAGCUAAUCUCCUUAAACCUUUGUACAAGAGCGGGGCCAGUCACCCACAUGAUGCUGUCAAUGUGCUUUCAAAGCCCCACUUCAAAGAGGGAGAUCAAAUGGGGGGUAAUUGAAAGGGACAGCGAUGUGAGGGGGUUCCUGAGACGCCCCCCAACGAUGACUAUGAAUGCGGCACACACCACCCAAAUGACAGGAAGGCAAUGCGUUGCGGUGGCUGGACUCCAGGAAGGAGCUCUGCGGGAACGAUGAGGUCUGUGGGUUUUGCUGCUGCUGUUGCUUUUGCUGUUGGUGGGCUUUGAGAAAAACACGACUGGCCGGGCUCCCUGCCUUCUCCUUCUCCUGUCGAAGUCUCUACAGCUAGGACCCUCCUGUCCUGACAGGCUCAGCUCUGCAUCUUGAGGUCCCUCUGACCUCCCAGCUGACCCUCCAUGUAACCCAGGCUCACCCAGGACUCUUUGGGACCUGAAGAUGCUCUAUUCAUCCAUUUGUGCUGAUUAAUAAAGUGAAUUCUGAACAUCUCGGCGGCUACAGUCUCGGUGGCUCAGCGGGGUGGAUGGGAUUGCUGCUGCCAAGUCCUCACCCUCUCUGAACUAAAUGCGUCAUCACGGACUGUGAGGUCCCUCCUACUUCGGGGGAGGGCACCAGCCCAUCCCCGCCAUUGAGGUCAGGAUUGCCUGUACAACCUUCAUGGGUCUACAGCCUUUAUUUUUUGCAUUGAAGGCCAGCAGGGGGCUGGUGCAGUUCUGCUGCAGGGGUGGAUCGGCUGGGCUCAGUUCAGGUGUGUUCCACACCUGUCAGCCUCACGGCCAGGAAGCCACCUGAGACACACUGUCUCCUGACAGAGCUCAGGAGAGCAAGAGGUGUGAGGAGAUGCACUUGGUGCCCUUAUGUCUUGGUGCACCGGGCACGUGGUCAAGCCUGUUCACAUGCACAACUGUCCAUGGACACAACCAAGGCACAGUCCAAUGGCACUAGUCCAAGGGAGGGGUGAGGACUUGGGGGCAGGAAUCCAGCCCUUCCCAAGCCCUAAACCCUUUACAACAGAAGGGCAACUAAAUACACAGGGAGACAGGUAGACUCACAAGUGAUCAGAAUAAAAGCCAGUGCACACCCCAGAUAACUGCAGCGGCCACGAGCCUUGUAAAGACCCAUGUUUUACGGAGGCAGCCACCAGCUUGCAGAAGCUGAGCUUCCUGUGGCCCUGAUUCUGCAUUACUGAACUACUCAUAGAACCACUGUUUCUGUCCUCAAAGCUUCUGUCUUGGUCCCAUUGCCUGACUUUAUAACAACCUUGAAAUACCCACCAGGACUGGUGAUCUCAUUCAAGACACAGAGGUCCGUCUCAGGCACUGUGCUGGGGCCUGCCUGUGCCCAGCCUGCCUGUAGGACUUUGGAGUCCGCAAUGUCGAAGUCCUUCUGCAUUUACACCCUGUGGCCUGAACCCUGACAUCAUCUCACCCCCAGACCACCCAACCCAUGACUCUUGGACACAAAAAGAAAUAUCUUCUCCAUUAGAAACCAGCACCUGAACGCAGCCAGGGUCCCCGGUCACACCAGAAACUGUUGCUUUGACCAAUCUCCACAGGGAUUUUGACAAUCAAGCAUAGAAACCACCAAAAAAGUAAAUACCGAGGUUGUAUUUUCUUUUCUUUUUCCUUUUUCUUUCCUUUUUCCUUUUUCUUUCCUUUUCUUUUCUCACCAAUGCAUCCACUUGUUUGGACGAGCAGGUCAUAAGGACAGGCAGGAGAUGAGUCACAUCUGACUUCACAAAAGUGCUUAAGCCUUUUCACAAUCUCCAUUUAAAGCCAGCCAAGCCUUUUAGAAUUGCCCAUCUCACAGGAAUGUUUGUAACAAGGCUAGGAAGGAAGUGUGUGCUCAGGUCGGCCCGUCCCUGGCUCCCGGAGGCAGGCUCUCCGGUGCAGCGGCAGCUGCCAGCCCUGGGGUCGGGCUUCAUAUUUUCUCAUGCCUUCAACAAGUCCUCCCUGGAGGAGGGGCAGUAAGCAGAAGGCAGUACAAGUGGCACAUUCUCCUUCUAAUGAGCACAGCACACUAACGUCUCUCGGAGGGGGCCCAGCUCUCCUCACGUUCCUCUGGGCCCAGGCUCCCUGCCAGCCUUUUCUCUUCCCCAGAGCAUUCAAUCGCUGUCAACAGAGCCAGACAAGAAUAGAAGCCGCUCAGAGACUCUCUUUUGUUUUGCUGGGACACUUCAGCACAUUCUCAUGGAUCCUUCAAAGGAAGGCAAUUAUCUGAUCAUUCUUGGGAGCAAUUAAAAUGUGGAAGGAUACAUCCUGCUUCAACCCGCCGAGUUUGUCUUUCCAAAUCACAUGGGCAAUUGAUUACACCAUCAACAAACCCCAUGUAACCCUCCAAGGAACGAGGUGCGUCCCUUGCAGUAGAAAACCGAUAACCCAAGACAUGAAGGUUCGAAUGGAUGAUUGGCUUAGCUGGAAUUGUGCUCCUCUGGAGGAGACUUUUUAAAUGUAUUCCUAGUUGCAAGUCCAGAAGCAAGGGAAGUGAGGCCCUCAGGGUUCUAUCAGAGCCUGGGAAGGGGAGGAGAGCAGAGAUGCUAAAGCAGUAGCAGAAGAUCCACAGACCCCUGGAAGGACAUGGAAGCUCGCUUUGAGCUGCUCCUUAGUUCAUGGGGGUCUCUCCAGCAUAAAGAGCUUCCUUCCUAAAAUGGGAAGAGGGCUGUUUGCACAGAGAGAAGCGUAGCCUUAAUACUGUACUUUGUCCAUCCCUCCAGAAAGCCCAAGGGAGGGGGCAGAUGGUUCAUCUGCAAGUGAUCCCAGGCCUAAAGCAAAGAGAUGGAUGGUCGGAGCCUCCGCGCGGUUUUUCCUGGCUACCUCCAUACCACCAUGUCACCUCUCUGUAAAGGCGAUAUAGGGAGCACCAUCUGGGUGUUGUAGCUCAUCUGGCUGUUGUAAGGAGUAAAUGAGAUGGGACGUGCCACACACAUGAUAUGUGCCCGGCUCACAGGAGGCACCUUAGUAAGUGGUCACCAUCAGAUAUACUAGUGAACCUGAGAGUGGCCCUUACCAACGUGGAAGGCUGGGGUGUUUGUAAUCAUCACUCAAGGCAAAGCAGAAAGAAAUCUAGGCUAUUUUUUAAGACUCAUUGUGUUUGGUCACAGGCAAAAAUAGAAUCCAUCCUCAUGCAACCAUCCUUUAAAUAGUAUUUCAACAGAGGGUUAAAGUGUUGGUUUGGGGUGUGAGAGUGAUACCUUAUUCAUUCAGAAGUCCCUCAAAGAAGAGGAUGGAGAAACAGACACGAUUCCAUGAAAUGAUCACUUUCCCCAGGCAAUCACACCAAGGAAGGUCAAAGAACCUCCUCCCCGAAGGUUCACUGCUGGAGGUGGAGAUCACAGCCAACUGACAAUAUAACUGCUGGCAGAUAUUUUUAGGUGGAAAGUCCCACCGUUUCCCGUACCUCACUGUGACCCUCAUUACGGCAUUAGGAUGGGAUUACCUUGCUCUCUUCUGAAAUACUAGCUUAUCCGUGGCACCAGCAACAAAUACAAGCAGCUUGUCUGAUGGAAAGGUCCUCUACUUAAGAACUAAACUUCCCCCAAAUCACAAGCCCCUUUGCUGAAACAAUGAAAAAUUUAGGUAAGCUCUGGAUUGAACUAUUUCCCUCCCUUUGAAAUAACUGGAUGUUUAGUCAUAACAAAUAAGAAUGAUUCUGGUAUCUUGUGGUCACGACAUAGCAUUUUUAUGUUUUUUUUUUUUUAUUUUUCACUUUACAUCUCACUACAUGGACAUGCUACCUUCAAUUCAACCCCAGGUUACAUCAAAACCUCUUGACCUUUCAUUUAAAGACAAAUAAAAGGCAGCUGCUGGGCUGUGAAAUUGUGAAUAACAAACGGAACCAUUAUUUGAAAGGUUUCAAAUUCUGAUGAACAGAAAGAUUAUUUUGGAAAAUCUAUAGCGGAGAGUAGUAUAAUUAUAACUUAGAUUUGCGUGGUGCUCAAUCCAAACUCAUCUCCAAACUGAACGUGGUUUUCUAACAAUAACAUUCCUCCAAAAAAGGGGGCAGCCUACAAACCAACAUAAGCGUAAGAUGCACUUCCUGUCCAGCUAAAAAUAAACCUGCAGACAUUUGAAAGCAGCAUAGAAUCCUUUCUAACAAUAAAAACAAACUCACCCAUGUCGUUGGGCCAAGGCUUUGACAUUUUAAAAAUCAUUAUGGUGAAAAAUAAACGCAACCUAUAACGUGAGCUAUUGUUAGAAAUCCUUGAGAAAAAUGCCUCAAAUAGAGAACUCGAACGUCCACUCGCUAAAAAUGAAACCGUUUUACUUGGGCAUUGUCAAAGGUCGAAUGGUUUUCUCCAAAAAUGAUGUUGAAGUCCUAACCCCCAGGACCUCAGAAUGUCACCUUAUUUGGAAAUAAGGUCCUUGCAGAUGUAAUUAAUUAGAACGAGGUCACAUUGGAAUGGGGUGGGCCCCGCAUCCAAUAAAACCACUGUCCUUAUAAAAAAGAGGCACGCCACGUGAAGACCGAGACACACAAGAAGAACACGGGGUGUGGCUGAAGGCGGAGGUUGUGACGACGCAUGUACAAGCCUGCAGGAGCAUCCGCGAGCACCGCUGGCCCCACCGGAAACCGGGAAGAGGCAGGACAGCUUCUACCCCGAGCCUCAGAGACAGUCUGGCCUUGACAUCACCUUGAUCGUAGAAUUCCAGCCUCCAGAAUGGAGAGCAAAAGAACGCUUUUCAAUGGUUUUGUCAAAAGUGGUGAAAAGGUGGCGAAUCGGGUCCCUGCCGCAUGGCCUGCCUGGAGCACUGUGCUGCGUGUUCACAUUCUGUCCUUCGUCUUCACAAUGGCUCUGGUGGGUGAGUUAACUGAGAGCAUCAUCGUAUUGAGAGCUUUUUUCUGAGUAUUCAGUAACUCACUCAUUCUCCGUGGACUAUAUUCUGAUCCAGCUCAGACUGAAGCUUAAGUCAUUAGGGAAAAGAAAUCAGCCAUCUAUUUUUUUUUCCUAUAUCAAGUAAUACUUGGAAUCCAGCCCUCUACUCCACUCCUAAUAUAACUAAAAUCUCAGCUCUAACCCCCAGUGGAUUCACACUUAAUGGCUAUAUAUGUGUGCUAUUCAUCGCUGUUUAUCUUCUACUUAACCAAUGCCUGGGAAGUGGCAUUUGUAGAGUGAAUGAAUGGAAGGAUGGAGAGAUAGAUGACAGCUCUCUGGGGGGACAGAGGGAAGGAUGCAAAGGAGGGAGUGAGGAGGCGACGAAAGAGGAAGAGAUGGAGAACACCAAUCUUUUUUUCCUUGUUGUAGUCACUAUAAAUCACCCCCAGUCUGUGACUCUCAUUUGGAAGAAGUGCAAAAUAAAAAUAAUCUAAGGUAUGCAAAGCUUACAAAUUUAUUAGCAGCUUGUGCAGUAAGUUUCUUUUAAUGCGUCUGUGGCAAUACUAGCAACAAA